rnacentral:rRNA from 1 species
UACAGAGGUCUCAAGCGUUGUUCGGAUUCAUUGGGCGUAAAGGGUGCGUAGGCGGCGCGGUAAGUCGGGUGUGAAAUCUCGGGGCUUAACUCCGAAACUGCAUUCGAUACUGCCGUGCUUGAGGACUGGAGAGGAGACUGGAAUUUACGGUGUAGCGGUGAAAUGCGCAGAUAUCGGGAGGAACACCGGUGGCGAAGGCGGCUCUCUGGGCCUGUCCGUGACGCGUGAGGCGCGAAAGCUAGGG